rnacentral:misc_RNA from 1 species
GUUUGUUUGUGUGAAAUUAAUGGCGGUCGUCGCCUAUACGUUUGUCCAUACAAAAAGGGCGUUGAGUUCCUGAAUUCAUCAGCAACAUCAAAUCCCUUAAAACCCUAAUUCGGAAAUUUUUGAUACAGAGAAAAGCUAUGGGGAAUGUUAACUGUGUAUUCUGCGGCUGCAUAGAACAGGCGAGCGUUGGUGUGGUGGAAAAAUGGGGACGUUUUGACAGAUUAGCAGAACCAGGGCUCAAUUUCUGGAAUCCCUUGGCCGGAGAAUGCCUCACUGGAACUCUCUCCACCAGGAUCAAUUCUCUUGAUGUCAAAAUUGAGACCAAAACCAAGGAUAAUGUCUUUGUUCAAUUGCUGUGCUCAAUCCAAUAUAGAGUGAUCAGGCAAAAUGCUGAUGAUGCUUUCUAUGAGUUGCAAAAUCCUACAGAGCAGAUUCAGGCUUAUGUAUUUGAUGUUGUUCGAGCCCAUGUCCCCAAAAUGAAUUUGGAUGAGCUUUUUGAGCAAAAGGAUGAAGUUGCUAAGGCUGUUU